rnacentral:rRNA from 1 species
GGCCACUGCUAUUAGGGUCCGGCUAAGCCAUGCGAGUGGAGGGCGUUCCGAAAGGGGUGGCCCCGCACACGGCUCGGUAACACGUAGUCAACCUGCCCUCGAGUCUGGGACAACCUCGGGAAACUGAGGACAAUCCCGGAUGAGCGAAGGACGCUGGAAUGCCCCUUCGCUGAAAGCUCCGGCGCUCGAGGAUGGGACUGCGAUCUAUCAGGCUGUUGGUGGUGUAACGGACCACCAAACCUACGACGGGUACGGGCGAUGGGAGUCGGAGCCCGGAGAUGGGGACUGAGACAAGGCCCCAGGCCCUACGGGGCGCAGCAGGCGCGAAAACUCCGCAAUGCGCGAAAGCGUGACGGGGGGACCCUAAGUGCCGCUGAUCUUUUGAUCGGCGGCUUUUAUGAAGCUUAAGGAGCUUUGGGAAUAAGGGCUGGGUAAGACUGGUGCCAGCCGCCGCGGUAAUACCAGCAGCCCAAGUGGUGGUCGCGAUUAUUGGGCCUAAAGCGCUCGUAGCCGGGUCGGUAAGUCCCUUGUGAAAUCGGGCGGCUCAACCGUUCGGCUUGCAAGGGGGACUGCUGGCCUUGGGACCGGGAGACGCCGAGGGUACUUCAGGGGUAGCGGUGAAAUGCUGUAAUCCUUGGGGGACUACCAGUGGCGAAGGCGCUCGGCGAGAACGGAUUCGACGGUGAGGGGCGAAAGCUGGGGGCGCGAACGGGAUUAGAUACCCCGGUAGUCCCAGCCGUAAAGCAUGCGGGCCAGGUGUUCGGCAUCCCUCGAGGGUGCUGAGUGCCGGAGGGAAGUCGUUAAGCCCGCCGCCUGGGAAGUACAGUCGCAAGGCUGAAACUUAAAGAAAUUGGCGGGGGAGCACCACAAGGGGUGGAGCCUGCGGUUC